rnacentral:misc_RNA from 1 species
UUCAUCCAUGCUGGUGGCUCUACUCUGUAGGAAACUUGGCCAACUCUGGCCACAACUGGUACUGGUCCUUCAUACUUGCAAACUAGUCUCUUAUCUCGAUUGCGGAGAAAUCGAAGUUGAUCUGGUAAUAGCUUCACCAUCACUAGGUCUCCCACUGCGAACUCUAGUGGUCUUCGAUUCUCAUCUGCCCAUUUCUUCAUGUGUUUG